UUCGAUUAGAGUUUGAUCCUGGCUCAGAUUGAACGCUGGCGGCAUGCCUAACACAUGCAAGUCGAACGGCAGCGCGGGGGCAACCCUGGCGGCGAGUGGCGGACGGGUGAGGAAUGCAUCGGAAUCUGCCCUGUUGUGGGGGAUAACGCAUCGAAAGGUGCGCUAAUACCGCAUGAGACGGGAACGUGAAAGCGGGGGAUCUUCGGACCUCGCGCGAUGGGAUGAGCCGAUGCCGGAUUAGCUAGUUGGUAGGGUAAAGGCCUACCAAGGCGACGAUCCGUAGCUGGUCUGAGAGGAUGAUCAGCCACACUGGGACUGAGACACGGCCCAGACUCUACGGGAGGCAGCAGUGGGGAAUAUUGGACAAUGGGCGCAAGCUGAUCCAGCAAUGCCGCGUGUGUGAAGAAGGCUUCGGGUUGUAAGCACUUUUAUCGGGAACGAAAAGCGUACGGCUAAUAUCCGUGCGUGCUGACGUACCCGAGGAAUAAGCACCGGCUAACUUCGUGCCAGCAGCCGCGGUAAUACGAAGGGUGCAAGCGUUAAUCGGAAUUACUGGGCGUAAAGCGUGCGUAGGUGGUCUUUUAAGUCCGUUGUGAAAGCCCUGGGCUCAACCUGGGAAUGGCAGUGGAUACUGGGAGGCUAGAGUACGGUAGAGGAUGGUGGAAUUCCCGGUGUAGCGGUGAAAUGCGUAGAGAUCGGGAGGAACAUCAGUGGCGAAGGCGGCCAUCUGGACCAGUACUGACGCUGAGGCACGAAAGCGUGGGGAGCAAACAGGAUUAGAUACCCUGGUAGUCAAUCACU
rnacentral:rRNA from 1 species